CGCUGGCGGCAUGCCUUACACAUGCAAGUCGAACGGUAACAGGUCUUCGGAUGCUGACGAGUGGCGAACGGGUGAGUAAUACAUCGGAACGUGCCCGAUCGUGGGGGAUAACGCAGCGAAAGCUGUGCUAAUACCGCAUACGAUCUACGGAUGAAAGCGGGGGAUCGCAAGACCUCGCGCGGACGGAGCGGCCGAUGGCAGAUUAGGUAGUUGGUGGGAUAAAAGCUUACCAAGCCGACGAUCUGUAGCUGGUCUGAGAGGACGACCAGCCACACUGGGACUGAGACACGGCCCAGACUCCUACGGGAGGCAGCAGUGGGGAAUUUUGGACAAUGGGCGCAAGCCUGAUCCAGCCAUGCCGCGUGCAGGAUGAAGGCCUUCGGGUUGUAAACUGCUUUU
rnacentral:rRNA from 1 species